GCGCGAGCUGGGUUUCACACGACCGUCUUUUUCGAAACCCAUGCUGAUUCCUACAGAGUAGAUUUCUAGUCUCCAGGAAAGUCAUUCUACUCGAACAUAAUACGUGUUCCAAAAUUCUACAGCUGAUGGUUGGAAAGGAAGAGAAGGAAACGUAGCAGGUGAAUAUGGAUUGGGGGGAAGAAAUGAAAGAGGAAGCUAACUGGUAGAAUUUUUCACAGAGCAUAACUAAAUCAUAGCUAACACUUGGUUCAAGAAUCAUAAAAGAAGAUUGUGUACAUGGAAGAAGCCUGGAGAUACUGACAGGUUUCAGAUAGAUUAUAUAAUGGUAAGACAGAGAUUUAGGAACCAGGUUUUAAAUUGUAAGACAUUUCCAGGGGCAGAUGUGGACUCUGACCACAAUCUAUUGGUUCUGAACUGUAGAUUAAAACUGAAGAAACCGCAAAAAGGUGGGAAUUUAAGGAGAUGGGACCUGGAUAAACUGACUAAACCAGAGGUUCUACAGAGUUUCAGGGAGAGCAUAAGGGAACAAUUGACAAGAAUGGAGGAAAGAAAUACAGUAGAAGAAGAAUGGGUAGCUUUGAGGGAUGAAGUAGUGAAGGCAGCAGAGGAUCAAGUAGGUAAAAAGACGAGGGCUAGAAGAAAUCCUUGGGUGACAGAAGAAACAUUGAAUUUAAUUGAUGAAAGGAGAAAAUAUAAAAAUGCAGUAAAUAAAGCAGGCAAAAAGGAAUACUAACGUCUCAAAAAUGACAUCGACAGGAAGUGCAAAAUAGCUAAGCAGGCACGAGUAGAGGUCAAAUGUAAGGAUGUAUAGGCUUGUCUCACUAGGGAUAAGAUAGAUACUGCCUACAGGAAAAUUAAAGAGACCUUUGGAGAAAAGAGAACCACUUGCAUGAAUAUCAAGAGCCCAUUUGGAACCCAGUUCUAAGCAAAGAAGGGAAAGCAGAAUGGUGGGAUGAGUAUAUAGAGUGUGUAUACAAGGGUGAUGUACUUCAGGACAAUAUUAUGGAAAUGGAAGAGGAUGUAGAUGAAGAUGCAAUGGGAGAUAUGAUACUGUGUGAAGAGUUUGAUUGAGCACUGAAAAACCUAAGUUGUAACAAGACGCCGGGAGUAGACAAUAUUCCAUUAGAACUACUGACAGCCUUGGGAGAGUCAUUCCUGACAAAAGUCUACCAUCUGGUGAGCAAGAUGUAUGAGACAGGCGAAAUUUCCUCAGACUUCAAGAAGAAUAUAAUAAUUCCAAUCCCAAAGAAAGCAAGUGUUGACAGGUGUGAAAAUUACUGAACUAUCAGUUUAAUAAGUCACGGCUGCAAAAUACUAACGCGAAUUCUUUACAGAUGAAUGGAAAAACUGGUAGAAGCCGACCUUGGGGAAUAUCAGUUUGGAUUCCGUAGAAAUGUUGGAACACGUAAGGCAAUACUGACCCUACGACUUAUCUUAGAAGCUAGAUUAAGAAAAGGCAAAACUACGUUUCUAGUAUUUGUAGACUUAUAAAAAGCUUUUGACAGUAUUGACUGGAAUACUCUCUUUCAAAUUCUGAAGGUGGCAGGGGUAAAAUACAGGGAGCAAAAGGCUAUUUACAAUUUUUACAGAAACCAGAUGGCAGUUAUAAGAGUCGAGGGCACGAAAGGGAAGCAGUUGUUGGGAAGGGAGUGAGACAGGGGUGUAGCGUCUGCCCGAUGUUAUUCAAUCUGUAUAUUGAGCAGGCAGUAAAGGAAACAAAAGAAAAGUUCAGAGUAGGCAUUAAAAUCCAUGGAGAAGAAAUAAAAACUUUGAGGUUCGCUGAUGACAUUGUAAUUCUGUCAGAGACAGCAAAGGAAUUCUAAGAGCAUUUGAACGGAAUGGACAGUGUCUUGAAAGGAGGGUAUAAGAUGAACAUCAACAAAAGCAAAACGAGGAUAAUGGAAUGUAGUUGAAUUAAACCGGGUGAUGCUGAGGGAAUUAGAGUAGGAAAUGAGACACUUAAAGUAGUAAAGGAGUUUUGCUAUUUGGUGAGCAAAAUAACUGAUGAUGGUCGAAGUAGAGAGGAUAUAAAAUGUAGACUGGCAAUGGCAAGGAAAGCGUUUCUGAAGAAGAGAAAUUUGUUAACAUUGAGUAUAGAUUUAAGUGUCAGGAAAUCUAUUCUGAAAGUAUUUGUAUGGAGUGUAGCCAUGUAUGGAAGUGAAACAUGGACGAUAAAUAGUUUGUACAAGAAGAGAAUAGAAGCUUUCGAAAUAUGGUGCUACAGAAGAAUGCUGAAAAUUAGGUGGGUAUGUCACAUAACUAAUGAGGAGGUAUUGAAUAGAAUUGGGGAGAAGAAGAGUUUGUGGCACAACUGGACUAGAAGAAGAGAUCGUUUGGUAGGACAUGUCCUGAGGCAUCAAGGGAUCACCAAUUUAGUAGUGGAGGGUAAAAAUCGUAGAGGGAGACCUAGAGAUGAAUACACUAAGCAGAUUCAGAAGGAUGUAGGCUGCAGUACAUACUGGGAGAUGAAGCAGCUUGCACAGGAUAGAGUAGCAUGGAGAGCUGCAUCAAACCAGUCUCAGGACUGAAGACUACAACAAUAACAACAACAACAACGAGAAUUUAAGGCGAAAAUGGUUAUCAGAUGUUCACAGACAAGACUGGACACUGAGUAAGCACUCUGUUGUAUAUGUGAACUGCAUUUCAACAAGGACGGUAUUUUAAGCAGUACCAGCAUGUAUAACCCGAAAACUGGUACACUCCUGACAGCACCGUUGGAUCGUCGACACUUGAGAAAAGAGUAACUGUUCC